rnacentral:tRNA from 1 species
UCCUGGUGGCCCAGUGGUUGGGAGUCUGCCUGCCAAUGCAGAAGAUACAGGUUCGAUCCCUGGCCCAGGAA